AAAGAAGAGGAAGGAAAGAAAGAAUAGCAGCAACAAGCCAACAACCAAUGAAUGGAUCAGCUGGGGGAUCAAUACGAUGCAGAGAAGCACCAAUGCCGAUCAUCAGUUCUGGUGGUCAUACGAUGCGUUCUUGUCAAGUUUUCACGAUUCGACUCGUGCGAUUUUGUUCUGAAGCCUGUGUGUGUCUCCGUGGUGGUGAUGAUAUGUAAGUUUUGAUUAGUAAUUGUUUUCAUCGUUUUGCUGAUGAAUGCUGACUGCUUUUGUACAGGUGGUUGCUGCUACUCUGAUCGUGCUCGCCAGCCAAAACGCUUUUGGCAAUGCUUGCAAAAGGCACCCUUUCUUGCUUUUGGUAACGGGAAACAUUGUCCCCUAGCAUCUCGGAAUCUUUGAUAAUUCUCUCUAGCCAAAGCCGGCGCAAAAUUCUGUCGCAUUCAACUACCCGGUUUUUUUGAAACCGAAUUCAUCUCCGCCUCAGUUUGCGCCCUGCGCGUGUUACUUAUGAACUGUGACGGAAUGAACUGCGCCGGUAAAAAUAUAUCACUGCCUCGAUUCCCCUAUGCAAUAUCGGCAGCAUAGCAUCGACAAUCCGGCAGCCCAGUACGGUGUGCCCAUCCGGACGCCGCCAAGUACCGAAUGGAACGAGCCACCAACCAAACCCGCCCGUGCGCGAGGAGACCGCCGAAGAUUUUCCUUCCCCCCGCACUCUACUCACUCUCGUUGCCGCACGGGGCGAUCGGCCGGUGGAGCCGAGACCCCACGCAGCCGUGGAAACCCAGAUCGAUCUCCCAAGUCGUCACAACGCGCGCCGCGCGCGCGUGGAAUCCCCAAGCACGACACGAAAGGCCGGCCGGCUCGGGCACACACAUACGCACAUGGACGCACGCACACGGUGCCGUGCGGUCAAACUGGGCCUCUGGCCGUGCUGAGCGAGCGUUGAGAAUUGAGACGAGGAACCAAGGCUGCACCCGGCGGGGUGAUGCGGUUUCGUCGUCAGUCGUCACACGUGCGCGUUGGGGAGGUGUAGCCGUGUAGGGGCCGGGGCAAUCAACCGCGAGCGAGGCGCUGUAGCGGGCGCUCCACCGGUGCAAUCGGAGGCCGAAACGUGCGCGCGCGACAGGAGGGGGGGAUAUGAGUUCCUGGCGGUGACGGCGACCGACGACCUUCCUUUCUCUCCGGAGGUGUGGAGGGGUGUGGGCUGGAUGGGGAUGGAGUCCAGUCCCCACUCCACUCCCCCCGGCGCCGAGGCAUGCUCGGCACCGCACGUGGGGGUGGCUGGGCCCCGCGCCAUCCCCUCCCACCGGACCUGGAUCCACCUCGCCGAUUUGACGCGCCCCCCGGCGUAGAGUAUGUACAAUCCUCCUCUUCGUCCUCUCCCCGGUGAGGUGUCGCGCGUCACGGACACGUAGUCGAGUCGAGACGAGACGACGACGACGCGCGGCGUGUGGUACACGGCGGGCGGCAACAGGUGCGGGGGAGCCAGCCCACGUGCGGCGGGUCCCAGCAGCCUCAUGUCCCUGUAGAGCGGCCGCGGCAAUACCUGCUCACGCGAACAACGACGUUUUUUUCAGCUUUCACACCAACCUGAGCACUGAAAAGCUUCAGAAAAUCUGCUCGGAUACCAUACCACAGCGACAGGGUGGCCAUGGCUGUGGCGACGAGAGGGAAGUUGGUGGCCUCUUGGGUCUUUGACUGAAACCGUGCAGGCAAGAUGCCGCAGGCACCACCAAUUCUACACGGUUACUGCUUACUACCAAGGUGUGAACAAGGUUUAACUCCCAGUUACCGGUUGGUUUUCUUCUGAAGGAGCAAAUGGCAAACGAUAUUUGCAUAUACAACUACACAUAGGCAGACACA